CGGGGAGUAGUUUAACAGUAGAAUUCGUGGCUGGGGGUCAUGAGGCCGGAGUGCGACUCUCCGCUCCCCGA
rnacentral:tRNA from 1 species